rnacentral:rRNA from 1 species
AUUGAGCGCUGGCGGCAGGCCUAACACAUGCAAGUCGAGCGGAUGAAGGGAGCUUGCUCCUGGAUUCAGCGGCGGACGGGUGAGUAAUGCCUAGGAAUCUGCCUGGUAGUGGGGGAUAACGUCCGGAAACGGGCGCUAAUACCGCAUACGUCCUGAGGGAGAAAGUGGGGGAUCUUCGGACCUCACGCUAUCAGAUGAGCCUAGGUCGGAUUAGCUAGUUGGUGGGGUAAAGGCCUACCAAGGCGACGAUCCGUAACUGGUCUGAGAGGAUGAUCAGUCACACCGGAACUGAGACACGGUCCAGACUCCUACGGGAGGCAGCAGUGGGGAAUAUUGGACAAUGGGCGAAAGCCUGAUCCAGCCAUGCCGCGUGUGUGAAGAAGGUCUUCGGAUUGUAAAGCACUUUAAGUUGGGAGGAAGGGCAGUAAGUUAAUACCUUGCUGUUUUGACGUUACCAACAGAAUAAGCACCGGCUAACUUCGUG